GUGGGGAAUAUUGGGCAAUGGGCGCAAGCCUGACCCAGCAACGCCGCGUGAAGGAAGAAGGCUUUCGGGUUGUAAACUUCUUUUACCAGGGACGAAACAAAUGACGGUACCUGGUGAAUAAGCCACGACUAACUACGUGCCAGCAGCCGCGGUAAUACGUAGGUGGCGAGCGUUAUCCGGAUUUAUUGGGUGUAAAGGGCGUGUAGGCGGGACAGCAAGUCAGAUGUGAAAACCAGAGGCUCAACCUCUGGUCUGCAUUUGAAACUGUUGUUCUUGAGUGUCGGAGAGGUAAUCGGAAUUCCGUGUGUAGCGGUGAAAUGCGUAGAUAUACGGAGGAACACCAGUGGCGAAGGCGGAUUACUGGACGAUAACUGACGCUGAGGCGCGAAAGCGUGGGGAGCAAACAGGAUUAGAAACCCCAGUAGUCC
rnacentral:rRNA from 1 species